rnacentral:misc_RNA from 1 species
ACACCUCAACUCCUCGUGGUUUGCCACGAUGGGCUUGGACUUUGGGGGCUUUGCCGGCUACUGUUGUCGGCUCCUCUCAAACAAAUCAGCUUGCCAGUGUUUGGUGGCGUCACAGGUGUGAUAACUAUCUACGCUUGUGGUCUCCCCACCAGGUAACCUUCAGCAAUGGAGGUUCACUGUGGCUCAUAAAUGUCUCUCCUCUGUGAAAGACGGCUUUUUUAAC